rnacentral:rRNA from 1 species
AUGGAGGCAGGCACGCAGCCUGUACGCGCCGGUCAUCGCCACCGCUCCUCUGCUCCGCCGGCCGUCCACGCCCAAACCAUGCCUCCUGCCCUCCACAUCUCCCCACACGGCACCGCCUCCGCCGGCCCUCCACGGGCCUCUUCGGCGCCCAACCACCCGCGGGCCUCUUCGGCGCCCCUCACCCGCCGGCCACCGCCCUCCCAGUGGUCCCUCUCACCGCCCCCUUCUCGGUGCCCACCAGCCGUCCUCCCGGCGCUCCCCACUCCACCACACGAAGACAAAGUCGAGACGGCACCAGGUGCCAGCAUCGCCGGCUCGCCGCACUUCGCUGGCCAACAAUCGCCACGGGCGCUCCCUGAUCCCUUCGCGCGGCAACAGCAACGGGUGCCCCAGUCCCCUCCAUGCGUCCGUGCACUCCGCCUGGGAGUUGCUCUAUUCCCAGGAGAGUCAAGACUUCUAUCUCAUAAGAUAUUCAAUGGAUAUUUUGUGAAACUAUUCUACCUCGGUGUUUGUCCAGAAGAAACAAACUCAUGUUCAGGAAGAGCUAUUUUGUGCACAUGA